CAGCCGCCGCGGUAAUACAGAGGGUGCGAGCGUUAAUCGGAUUUACUGGGCGUAAAGAGUGCGUAGGCGGCUUCUUAAGUCGGAUGUGAAAUCCCUGAGCUUAACUUAGGAAUUGAAUUCGAUACUGGGAAGCUAGAGUAUGGGAGAGGAUGGUAGAAUUCCAGGUGUAGCGGUGAAAUGCGUAGAGAUCUGGAGGAAUACCGAUGGCGAAGGCAGCCAUCUGGCCUAAUACUGACGCUGAGGUACGAAAGCAUGGGGAGCAAACAGGAUUAGAUACCCCUGUAGUCCCUGUCUCUUAUAC
rnacentral:rRNA from 1 species